rnacentral:rRNA from 1 species
UAGCAUAUCAAUAAGCGAGGAAAAGAAACCAACCGGGAUUGCCUCAGUAACGGCGAGUGAAGCGGCAAAAGCUCAAAUUUGAAAUCUGGCGGGCUUAGAUGACCGUCCGAGUUGUAAUUUGAAGAGCGGUCUUUGGAGAGGAACCUUGUCUAUGUUCCUUGGAACAGGACGUCACAGAGGGUGAGAACCCCGUGAGAUGAGGGAUACCGAUCUGUGUAAAGGCUGUUCGACGAGUCGAGUUGUUUGGGAAUGCAGCUCUAAGUGGGUGGUAAAUUCCAUCUAAAGCUAAAUAUUGGCGAGAGACCGAUAGCGAACAAGUACAGUGAUGGAAAGAUGAAAAGAACUUUGAAAAGAGAGUGAAAAAGUACGUGAAAUUGUUGAAAGGGAAGGUUAUUAGAUCAGACUUGGUGUGUGCGGAUAUUUGUUCUCUUGUAGGGCAUUCACUGCGCAUGCGCUGGGCCAGGGUGGAUUUUUCGGGGCGGGAUAAGAGCGGUGGGAAAGUGGCUUUGCCGAAUUUGGGAAAGUGUUAUAGCCUGCCGCGGAUGCCGCCACCGGGGAUCGAGGAAUGCGCGGGCCUUUGUUGGGUCAGCUAGGAUCCUGGCGUAAUGAUCUAAUAUCGCCCGUCUUGAAACACGGACCAAGGAGUCUAACGUCUAUGCGAGUGUUUGGGUGGUAAAACCCGUACGCGUAAUGAAAGUGAACGUAGGUUGGAGCUGUCAUUUUUUAUUUUUGGCAGUGCACAAUCGACCGAUCCGGAAGUUCUCUGAAGGAUUUGAGUAAGAGCAUAGCUGUUGGGACCCGAAAGAUGGUGAACUAUGCCUGAAUAGGGUGAAGCCAGAGGAAACUCUGGUGGAGGCUCGUAGCGGUUCUGACGUGCAAAUCGAUCGUCGAAUUUGGGUAUAGGGGCGAAAAGACUAAUCGAACCAUCUAGUAGCUGGUUCCUGCCAA